rnacentral:rRNA from 1 species
UACGGAGGGUGCGAGCGUUGUCCGGAAUCACUGGGCGUAAAGGGCGCGUAGGCGGCGCGGGCAGUCAACGGUGAAAGCUUGGGGCUCAACCCCGAGUCGGCCGUCGAUACUCCCGUGCUGGAGCACUGUAGAGGCAGGUGGAAUUCCGGGUGUAGCGGUGGAAUGCGUAGAGAUCCGGAAGAACACCGGUGGCGAAGGCGGCCUGCUGGGCAGUAGCUGACGCUGAGGCGCGACAGCGUGGGGAGCAAACAGG